rnacentral:lncRNA from 1 species
AGUAGUGAGUAGUGAGUGCACCCCUGCCCUCAGAGCAGCUCCACAGUCCACAGUGUGGAUUAUCAGGCAGCGCUUCCUCACAGUAUCUGUUGCUGCUGCUGCUCACUGACUCCUCCCUCACUUCCUCACACUCCACCAAACUCACUCAGUGUGUGGAUGCCCGCCGUACCAGCGCCGAGCAGCCCACACCACCCAGCCCGGCCGCCCUUACCGCGUUUCAGAGCGUUAAAAUGAGACUGGAGUUUUUAAAAGUCGGUUUUAUAACUGUGUUUUAUUAGAUGCGCGUCUCGCGGGGGGUUUUGGCGCCACGAUGGCCAAUUUAAAACGGCAGCGGUCGUGGCACGAGGACUUCUCCAGAAACUUUCUCCGACUGUUUUCCAGAAGUAGGUCUGUGGAGCAGGAAAAAACGGACACGGAGGCUGAAAAUGGGGAAGAACAUGAGGAUGACAGCACUGUCGGCCAGUCUGAUGAUGCCGACACAGCAUUUGCACCUUUGCAUCACCUCACCAUGGAACCAGCGGCACAGACACUGGGGCAGUCAGAGCAAGACCGGCUCCUGGAGACGCACAGUGUGGAUGAUCCGGAGCACAGGGUGCAAGACAACAAUGCGGAUCGCGACCCUCUUCCCGUCACCCCUUCUGCCCUGGAGCCCAGCUCUCCGCCGCCCCCUGUAGACGGCUUCUUCAGAAGGCUGGGCAGCCUGUUCCUAUUCGGUCGAGCUGAGCCCGGGGGAGCUGACGGGCAGAGUCAGCCCGGCACGGUGUUGGAAGCACAGGGAGCAGUGGACACGCAGCACACUGACCCCAAAACACUGCUUACAGGGAGCACCGAGGCACAGACGAGUGUGGAGGAGGGAGGAGAGCAGCGUCUGAAGCCUACGGAGCUGUCUCAGUCUCAGGAGCUGUCUAACUCAGCGGCUGGUCCAGAGGUUAAAUCCACAGGGCAAGCAAAGCAAGACAUAGAAAACACACAUGGCACCUGCGACCCUAGGAGAGUAAGGACUACCACAUGCCUCCUCCGACACGUGAAGUCAGUCAUCCCUUUUUUCAAGCUGCUGCCAAUGCAUCAUUGCCUGAACAGCUAGUGCACUCGGAGGAAAGCACAGCAACUUGUUACAUCCGCUCACAAACGCCUUGUGCCGCCCAGCGCCACCUUUGAGAGUAC